rnacentral:snRNA from 1 species
UAAACCAAUUGGGCCAAAGC